AAACCCUGAAUGAACCUUUUGG
rnacentral:miRNA from 1 species